AUGUUGGCCCUCUCCGAAGAGGAAAUUUUCCUUUCCAUUAGUAAGGCCAAUGUUAACUCUGCUUCUGGCCCAGAUGGCUUCUCAAUCCCUUUCUUUAGGAAAUUCUUGCCUCAAUUGCGGGUCCUUCUCUGUGCGAUCAUCCAGGGAUUCUGUUUGGGGACGGUUGAAAUCUCUAGACUUAACUAUGCUGUCAUCACCCUCACUCCAAAAGUCAAGGCCGGGGAACUCAUCUCGCAAUUCCGGCCUAUUGCCCUGAUCAACAACUUUGCUAAAUUCCCAGCCAAAAGUUUCGCUACACGCCUUACUCCUGUGGCCCACCGUACUCUUUCUCCUUAUCAAUCCACCUUUGUUAAACGUUUUAUCCUUGACGGGGUUCCGUGCCUCCAUGAGAUCAUUCAUGACAUUCGCAAAACUGGCAGCAAGGCCGUUAUUCUUAAGCUAGAUUUUCAGAAGGCUUAUGACUCCGUUAGCUGGGGUUUCUUAAGGAAGAUCCUUUUGUCCAAGGGCUUUGAUGGUGGCUUUGUUCAUAGAAUUAUGCAGAUGGUCUCCGGGGGCCAUACUGCGAUUUCAGUCAACGGGAGGAUGAUGACCCACAAGUAUAGGGGAUCUAUCGUACUCCUUUCGAUAAGUAAGAGUGUCGAACCCAACGAGGAGCAGAAGGAAAUGAUAAGCGGUUUUCAGUAA
rnacentral:rRNA from 1 species